ACAGAAUGUGGAGUCACCACCCACUGCUUCCUUCACUCUCUCACUUCCCUAACAUCAAAAACUUUCAAGUGCCUGUGUCUAGCCCUACCCUUCUCCAUGACUGCCUGGAAAGCCACCUCCCAUUAAAAUGUUCUGGCAUGGUGCCUCCAGAACCCCUUACUUAGUUUUGUUUCCUGUCUUUUGCUCCUCAAAGUGUCUUAAUCUCAAAAAAUACUGAGGAAUCUGAAGGCAGACAUCCACGGCUGGGCCCCUGGUGGAGCACUGGGAGUCUAAUUAUUUCCACAGAAAACAAAAUGCUGUAGAUUCCUUCAAAGUUGAUCAAGAUGUCAGAUUUGACCAUGGGAGACCUCCUGAGGAUCUUGGAUAUAGACAUGAGGGGAAAAGCCAAGAAAGACUACAAGACAGGUGAUGUACAAGCUGAUCCCUCAAAAUGGGAACAGUUCUGAGACUUGGUAUACUAUGGGAUAACAAACUGUUCUAAAAAUACUUUGAUCUACUGAGGACCAUAAUCAAGAUAUCCAAAGCAGGAUUAAAUAAACCAACUUGCCAGGAGGAGUAUCAUAAUCAAAAAACAAACAAACAAACCAAAAUCAAAAACGUGUUCCUAUCCCAGCAUAAGAAGAUUUGGAAAUAGAUCCACAGAGUGCAAGAUAACUGCACAGAAAUCAAUAACCACCACAGAUGUAUUAACAAGUUCUAAGUAACUGGAGAAGAAGAUAUACCCUGUCAUCGUGUUUACCAACUGCAAGAUUUGAGACUGUGGAAAGAAUUUUUCUAUUGUAAU